rnacentral:rRNA from 1 species
ACGGGAGGCAGCAGUGGGGAAUAUUGGGCAAUGGGCGCAAGCCUGACCCAGCAAUGCCGCGUGAAGGAAGAAGGCUUUCGGGUUGUAAACUUCUUUUAAGUGGGACGAUAAUGACGGUACCACUUGAAUAAGCUCCGGCUAACUACGUGCCAGCAGCCGCGGUAAUACGUAGGGAGCAAGCGUUAUCCGGAUUUACUGGGUGUAAAGGGCGUGUAGCCGGGUCGGUAAGUCAGAUGUGAAAUCUACGGGCUCAACUCGUAAACUGCAUUUGAAACUGCUGAUCUUGAGUAUCGGAGAGGCAAUCGGAAUUCCUAGUGUAGCGGUGAAAUGCGUAGAUAUUAGGAGGAACACCAGUGGCGAAGGCGGAUUGCUGGACGACAACUGACGGUGAGGCGCGAAAGCGUGGGGAGCAAACAGGAUUAGAUACCCUGGUA